GUCGAGGGGCAGCAUUUCAGUUUGCUUGCAAACUGGAGAUGGCGACCGGCGCACGGGUGAGUAACACGUAUCCAACCUGCCGAUAACUCGGGGAUAGCCUUUCGAAAGAAAGAUUAAUACCCGAUGGUAUAAUUAGACCGCAUGGUCUUGUUAUUAAAGAAUUUCGGUUAUCGAUGGGGAUGCGUUCCAUUAGGCAGUUGGUGAGGUAACGGCUCACCAAACCUUCGAUGGAUAGGGGUUCUGAGAGGAAGGUCCCCCACAUUGGAACUGAGACACGGUCCAAACUCCUACGGGAGGCAGCAGUGAGGAAUAUUGGUCAAUGGGCGCAGGCCUGAACCAGCCAAGUAGCGUGAAGGAUGACUGCCCUAUGGGUUGUAAACUUCUUUUAUAUGGGAAUAAAGUUUUCCACGUGUGGAAUUUUGUAUGUACCAUAUGAAUAAGGAUCGGCUAACUCCGUGCCAGCAGCCGCGGUAAUACGGAGGAUCCGAGCGUUAUCCGGAUUUAUUGGGUUUAAAGGGAGCGUAGGUGGACAGUUAAGUCAGUUGUGAAAGUUUGCGGCUCAACCGUAAAAUUGCAGUUGAUACUGGCUGUCUUGAGUACAGUAGAGGUGGGCGGAAUUCGUGGUGUAGCGGUGAAAUGCUUAGAUAUCACGAAGAACUCCGAUUGCGAAGGCAGCUCACUGGACUGCAACUGACACUGAUGCUCGAAAGUGUGGGUA
rnacentral:rRNA from 1 species